rnacentral:rRNA from 1 species
UACGGAGGGUGCAAGCGUUAAUCGGAAUUACUGGGCGUAAAGCGCACGCAGGCGGUUUGUUAAGUCAGAUGUGAAAUCCCCGAGCUAAACUUGGGAACUGCAUUUGAAACUGGCAAGCUAGAGUCUUGUAGAGGGGGGUAGAAUUCCAGGUGUAGCGGUGAAAUGCGUAGACAUCUGGAGGAAUACCGGUGGCGAAGGCGGCCCCCUGGACAAAGACUGACGCUCAGGUGCGAAAGCGUGGGGAGCAAACAGG